GAUCAUGGCUCAGGAUGAACGCUAGCGACAGGCUUAACACAUGCAAGUCGAGGGGCAGCGAGGGCGUAGCAAUACGCCUGUCGGCGACCGGCGCACUGGUGAGUAACACGUAUGCGACCUGCCCCCUACAGGGGUAUAACCCGUAGAAAUGCGGACUAAUCCCCCAUAGUCCCGUUGGCUGCAUGGCCAUCGGGGGAAAGGCCAGCCGGUAGGGGAUGGGCAUGCGGCGCAUUAGCUAGUUGGCGGGGCAACGGCCCACCAAGGCGACGAUGCGUAGGGGUUCUGAGAGGAAGGUCCCCCACACUGGUACUGAGACACGGACCAGACUCCUACGGGAGGCAGCAGUGAGGAAUAUUGGUCAAUGGGCGCAGGCCUGAACCAGCCAAGUCGCGUGAGGGAGGACGGUCCUACGGAUUGUAAACCUCUUUUAUCAGGGAGCAAAAGCAGUCACGGGUGACUGAAAGGAGAGUACCUGAAGAAAAAGCAUCGGCUAACUCCGUG
rnacentral:rRNA from 1 species